UGCAAACAAAAGUCUGGCAUCUCCCUGGUCAUUGCCCCUCAUAUCCGUCCAUUCCUCUCUACACUAAGUUGUGAACCUUGUUGAAGUUUUUACCCCUCUCCUCGAUUACUGUGAUCAUACUCUGCUAAAUGCAAACGUGGCAUCCCUGUGCUGACACUUUUUUAUCAUGACUUUCUCUUACACGUAGAAUAAAAUUAUCAAAAUCC
rnacentral:lncRNA from 1 species